AGAGAGAGAGAGCGAGCGCUCCGUGGAUAGGUCUGCUAGCAACAGCCGUGCUGCAGCAGAGAGAGAGAGAGAAAUCAAGAAACAAGUCAUAGCAACACCGGGCACCAGGUACCACAUCCAGCUCAUUGACGGUGGUUAUUUCAUUUAUUCCUCACUGCAACCCUGCAAGGAGUGGCUGGUAAGUGUUCUGCUCAUGAUUAGAACCUUGGUGUCUCACAGCCUUUGCAUUUUUCUUCUCUCACUCUUCAGUGUCUAUAAAAUGCCUCUUAGGAGGUAGAUCCCCAAAACACGUCUAUGUAAGGAGUUCUGUGAGUCCCUGAUGCUUUGUGGGAGUUUGGGUGGCUCAUCUUCCUGAACCCAGGGUCUGGGUCACUUAGCUCUUCUGUGCCACCCUCCCUGCGGCCUCGUUAACUUUCUCCUCUUGCUUUGAGGAUAGGUUCAUGCAAGAGGAUGAGUUUGUUUUAUUUUUGUAGCUGAAAUUAAUGGACUGCCAAACCUCAGUUUUCCCCUUGGAAGAGGAGGUGGAGGUGGAGGGGUUGCAUUACCUUCAGGGCAGACAGAAUAACCCCCAGAAUCCAGAGAUCCGUAGAGAGCAAAGAAGCAGAGAUGUGGCACUUGGGCAGAGCUGGGUCUACAUCUUGACUCUGCCUCACUCAUCUGGGUGGUUUGAGACGUGUUACUUGAUUUCCCUAAGUCUUACUGUCCCCUGUCAGUGAAAUGAAGCCAUUAUACCUACUACACAGAAAUGCCUAAUAUAUUGUCAAACAGGUAGGAUCCUAAGAGAAAGCGAUGCAGCUUCGUUCCCCUUGCCCAGUUGUCUGCUGCGGACUUAAGAAAGGAAUAUACGAGGUAGCUCGAGAAGAAAUAAGGAAGAAGGAAGCUUAUGUGUCUUAAGUGGUAUCAUAGGCAGGGGCAGCGAGGAGGUAACCGGCCAGUAGGCACCUGAAGCCUGCCAGGUCGUGCCUUUCCCCCCCGGGCUAAAUACCCGUUCUUGCAUUAGAACCUUCUGAAUCAGGAAAGCACCAUGGAAACGUAGAUGAGCCAUGUGGUGGCAGAGUGAGGGUUAACCAGUGAGCCUCCCUGGGAUCCUUUUGAUGCCAGGUUACUUUCCCUUCUUUCCGAAUGCAGCGGUGGCUGCCCGCUUCCUGACGCUAUCGCAUCCCGUGGGAGGGGAGUUGGACACCCUGAAGCCCCUCGUCACCAGUUCCGGGGCUGCAGAGCAGGGAGUGACGACAGCUCAUGAGUCGUCAGCCGACGGCAGCGGGGACCCUGGUGACGGCUGCUUUGUUGUUUUUUUCCUCUUCGGAUGAUGACUCAGUGUGUCGGGAGCCGGGAGAUGGAGCACUCACCGAGUGGCCAGGACGUUCUGUCAACAUGAAAACAGCAAAAACAGCUCGUCGGAGCUCAGAGCUGACCCUGGGCUGGGGUCAUUUUCAGGAAGGGCUUGGCAAAGAAAAGGCGACCGCCACGUAUUGGGUUGGCAGGGGUGAUACCGGGUAACUUAACAGGGCUCUGUAGACCCUUGAAUUUUAGAACCUGAAAAGAAAACGCAGCCGUUUGUGUUACUAGAUGAGCUUGGCAACCAGGAUGGCUUCUUGGGCUCCUCGCACUCGUCCCCGACAAAGAGACAUCUUUCCGGGUCCAGAAAACCCCCUUGGGGAUUUCUCAGUGUGGCUCAUUGCCUUGGAUGGAGGGCAAGUCUCUUUUUGUGGGGGAGCAAGGGUGGGGCCUGGCAGCCCUAGUGCCCGUUGUGGGGAUGUAGUGUCUUGGGGGUCUCCUCUGCCGGCAUCAUGCGAAGAUGGUGGCUCCCGCGUCACCGGCCUCAAGCCGAAGACCAGCUCUCUCGGGCAGCCAUUCUUCAGCCUUCCCUUUCCUCAUCCCAAAUUACAAGCUUUUCUUCUUCUUCACCAUCUUCCUCACUUCCUCCUCAGGUGCCAUGGCGGGCCUUGACCUCCGCGUCUGUGUGUGUGUGUGUGUGUGUGUGGUGUCAUCAUGGCGGCUCGGGGUUCUAGGCUUUUCUCCCGUCUGCAGCAAUGCGCUUUGUGCGCGUGACGCCCCCGUGGCCCCGCCCCGCCGACCAGGCCCCGCCCUGCCGCCAGGCCCCGCCCCGCCGCCAGGCCUGUCCCUGAGACCCAGCGAGGAGACAGGCCCUUCGUUCUUUCGCCGCAGAAUCUCGGCCAAACCACCAUCAUCCCCAGCAUCCGGCUUCCCUUCUCUCCUCCCGCUCUGUCGGCCAGCGUCUGGGGCAGAGGAGCAAACAACUUGUGGGAGGGGAUGAUGGAGGGACAGAUAGCCUGGCCGAGCUCUCUGGUCUCCUCAGCCCGGGUGCCAUUUUUCUCAGCCUCCCACGCUCCUGUGGACGAUGCCUGCUCUGACUUUUGUCGCCGCGCACCUCCUCUUCCCCUGAGGACCUCCCCGCGUGACUCGUUGGGAUCUGGGGUCUCGGGCGCCCAGAAGGAGCAGGGGGACCCGGCCCAGGUCACAGGGGAGAGCUGAAGAGACAGGCGAGGGGGUGGGAGCUGGCCGACCCCACCCAAGAGCAAAGGCAGCCCCAUCCCCACCCCCCACCCUUUUUUGCAGUCAUGUCUUUUCGAGCCUAAGCAGAGAGCAACUUGACCUGAAAAAAUUCGUGUCUCUAUGUGGGUGUUGGAACGUCUGCGGAUCUUUGUCCGGAAGCUGCGUGGUGCCCAGAGCCCAGGUUCUGUGCUUAAGGGAGCUGUUGUCCUUUGGGUUUUUGCAGCUGUUUUUGCAGCAGUGUGAUGGAUGGGUCCUCCUCAAGGACCCCUGUGCCCGCUGUGACUGGCCUUUCUCCAGGACGCUGGGCCCGGCGGUGGCCCUGCUUCGUGUUGGUGGACGGGGCGCCGCAGCGGAGGGCGGUGUCCCGGGGCUCAGAAGAGACCCCGAUGACUGGGGCCUGCGCGUGGUGCCUCACCUGGUGGUCCCUGGGAACUGAGCCCACCUUUCACUUCUUCCCCACAGAGAACUCAGGGGAGUUCAGCUCCAGAAGUAGGUGACAGCCUGCUGGAGACUCCGCUGCUGACGGUGCUGGCGUUCAGAAGACACUCGUCAUCCUUUGGGGUAAACGUGUUGCCUGUUUGCGUGUCUUAUUUGGAACACACAGAAAAAGGAGCUGCCUGGCAGCCUGGCUCUCCGCGGUAAGUAUCUGUCUGCAUUCUUUUAUCCCUUCGAAUGUCGAAAGUGGACGGACGCGGUGCUGAACUCAGCUGGCUCUUGUGCCUUCUUGGUUCUUUGCUGCACAGCCCCGCCCUUGGUCCUCCCGAAGCGGGCGCUGGAUCCGUUUCCCCAUGCUGCUGGAGAGCUGCAGAGAGCCUAGCAGUCAGUGUGCCGCCCCCGUGCAUCCCCCUCGGGUUCAGGAGAAGUCGAUUCUCCCUAAAAUGGAGCCAAGAAGCCGGGUCCCCCCAGAACUGAGUGUUCACGGGCUGAAUGGAAGGGCCCUGCCUGUGCUCACUGCCCCCAGCAGGGAGGUGACUCUCAGUUGCCUGGGUGGGGGAGUGGCGAGGGCGGGGAUGUGCCUUGCCAGCAUCUAGCAUGGUUCUCUGCCAAGUUCUAGCUCCAGAUCGCUAGGCCGCUAGGAACCUAGACUAUAUAUAGCGUUGUGCUAAGCAAUUCUUAUCGGACCUGUCUGUCCCGUCACCCCCACGGGGAGGAGAGCUUCUAUCAGAAAACCAGAACCUGGAGAGAGUAAGCCACCUCCAUGGGGCCUUUUAUUCUGGGAAGGG
ensembl:lncRNA